rnacentral:misc_RNA from 1 species
CCGCUCUCAGGUUGGGCAGUAAGGGUCGGAGAAGGGCAAUCACUCAUUCUUAAAACCAGCAUUCUUAAGACCAAAGAGUGGGCGGAAAGGGGGGGGGAGCUCUCCGUUCCUGGUUUUCCUGUAGCUGGAUCCUCCGGAACCACAAGAAUCCUUAGUUAGAAUGGGAUUCCAACUCAGCACCUUUUGAGAUUUUGAGAAGAGUUGCUCUUUGGAGAGCACAGUACGAUGAAAGUUGUAAGCUGUGUUCGGGGGGGAGUUAUUGUCUAUCGUUGGCCUCUAUGGUAGAAUCAGUCGGGGGGCCCGAGAGGCGGUGGUUUACCCUGUGGCGGAUGUCAGCGGUUCGAGUCCGCUUAUCUCCAACUCGUGAACUUAGCCGGUACAAAGCUAUACGAUAGCACCCAAUUUUUCCGAUUCGGCAGUUCGAUCUAUGAUUUAUCAAUUUAUCAUUCAUGGACGUUGAUAAGAUCCUUCCAUUUAGCAGCACCUUAGGAUGGCAUAGCCUUAAAGUUAAGGGCGAGGUUCAAACGAGGAAAGGCUUACGGUGGAUACCUAGGCACCCAGGG